UCUGGUCACCACCUUGGCCUCACCUGGUCUUGGUGAAUCUGGUCCCCACCUGGCCUCACCUGGACCUGGUGACUAUGGUCUCUACCUGGGCCUCAA
rnacentral:miRNA from 1 species